rnacentral:lncRNA from 1 species
UUCUUUUGUCAAACUAUAUCGAUGCAAUAGUAAAAAAAAAAAUUCUACCAUCCUCCUCAGUUUUUUGGUCCAAUUGAUUAUAUUUGUUUUAGCUUGGGAUUAGACAUUUACAUAAAUAGUAUAAAUAUAUAACAUUAUUUACCAAUUAUAAUAUAUUUUUAUUUUUACAGUUGAUAGCCUAACUUUUUUUUACCACAAAUAGUUAAAUUCAUAUAUAAUACAUUUUCAAACAUUGUUUUAACAACAUUAGUAAUAAAAAUAUAAACAAUAAUCUUAAUACAUUUCGAAUUUAAUAUAAGUAUUAUAUGCGAAUUUCAAAUAUUUCAUCAAUUUAAAUUUGCUCACGAUGUUAGAAAUAUAUUAUUUUUGUUAUGAAAUAACAACUUUCGAAUUCAUAAAAAUGUAUAAAUUGAAUUUGAACUAUAUUACAAUAAUUGUUUAUAUGCAAUACAAUUUUUAAAAAAUUCACCAUCUUGACUGAAAAUACUAUCCAAUAACAAUGUCGUCACCUUCCCCGAAAAAUUCAACUCCGGCGAAGCACAUCAUCGGAACACCAAACAACCAUCCAAAAUAACCUUUAGUACUAACCUUCAAUCCUCCAUUAAUGGCUUUCCCUUACCACUAACUUCCCUCUCCUAUUCACCAUUUUACUACACUCAACAAAAAAACUAUUACGAGCUCUACCACCAACGGAUCUAGCCAAAAUUAGAAGCAACAAUGUUCACAUCACAUCGCCGGAGAUGAAUGCUAAGAGCUGGUCGGAAUCGAAAUAGGGAGGAGAGUUGGAUUGAGGGAAGACUAUGGUGGUUUUUUGGCCGGAGAAAUAAAGAAAUGGAGAUGAAAUAGUUGUUGGUCGGAGCGAAAGGACACUACCAGAGUCUCUUCGGCCAAAUGGAGCUCCACCGGAGCUCGAAGCAUCAUCGACGAUCCAAGCUUCGCCAAAGAUUCAACAGCGAAGAGAGGAAGAUAAGACAAUGAAUAAGACAAUUAGUUAUAAAUAAUAAAAGUAGGGUAUAAUUGUAAUAAAAUUAACGGAAAAGGCUCAAAAAUAUUCCUGAACUAUUCGAAUUAGCUCAAAAAUGUCCUUCGUUAGAUUUUUGGCUCAAAAAUAUUCCUCCGUUAAAUAUUUGGCUCAAAAAUAUGCCUUCCUCUAAUGAAAUUCGGAAAAAGAUAAAAAAUACCCCUGAACUAUCUGAAAUGGGUAAAAAA